GCAGUUUUUCCGUUAAUAUUCUAAGCCAGCAAGCCGAUCUUCUCAUGAUGAGUGGUCUUGGAUGAAACUUGUCAUGAAGCACCGGGCAGCUGCAGACCUCUCCUGCCAGCCCAAGCCACACCCUCCCCUCUUCCUUUUUUUUUCUUUAAGUCCCUGGGGUCAUGGGCCAGAGCUGUUGUAGUGGAGUUACCUGUUUACAGAAGAGCUGCACUGAAGUAUUUUUGUUGUUGCAACUUUUUCUUAAACAUAAAUAUGUUUAAUGUUAAUAAUGUUGCUUUUAAACUGAACUCAUUUUUCCAGUUCAGGAUUAGUGUAUUCUGAUAGUAAAUAUUUUUUAAUCAAAUAUGGAAACACAAUAAAUGAAGGGAAUAGUAUGUUCCAUUUUCUAUCAUAAUGAGAUGUCUUAAAAGGCAUUUCCCUUCAUGUACACCUAGAAUUGCCCUCUCUUUGUUUUAGAACAGUAGACUUGAACUAGCACCUAAGAAGGAUAUAUUUGAGAGAAGAUAGAAAAACUAAGGUUUUUUUCAGGUUUUCAAUGUCUAAACUAUUUUUGUUCUAAUACUGUCCUUUCAAACAGGCGCUUUUUGGUACGAUGUGGAUUGACUGCUCAUUAAACUGGUUGCACAUCAUACUCCUUUGCAAGCCAAUCCAGACCAAGAGAUGUAAUACCUUUUUUUUAGAAAAUCAAAUUGACAUCACAGGGUAGGAAGACAGAUUUUCCUACUUUAUACUUAAGUCAAAUACAGAUGUAUAGAAUUUGAGUAAGAUCCAAUGUGAUUAAUGAAUAAGUCACCUACCUGUGAAUGGGCCAUCUUAGAUUAGGGCAGUAUGCCAGUAAUUUCCUCAGAAUGACUUUCAAUGUACCUAUCAGUGAGUGCUAAAUUUAAGUCUUGUGUAACUCUUGUGUCAUUCCAUUGUUUUUCCUUAUAGUAACAGACACAAAAUAAGAUAGUCUAUUUCUAGUCAACUUUUAAUGUUUGGUAGAUCCUCCAUGGUGGGUGCCGUGGAGUCAGUUUAUUUCUCUCCACCCCCAUUGUGGUCCCUCUUUAGCAGGCUUUCCUAGUCCUACAGGGGUAAAGUUAGUUGGGAGAAAGGCUUCUAGUUCUGUGAAAAGAUGCAGAGCUGUAACGGGCUGGCCUACAGGUACCCUAUGUAUGUUACCUGCUACCUGACUUGUCUCUUUUGCCUUCUGUAGAUGAUGAGGGUUCACUGGUUGAUCCUGACGACAUCAUGAGACACUUGGGUGAUGAUGGACGCAACUCUGUGGCAACUGAGCCCUGGCUCCGCCCUGGCACUUCCGAAACUCUGAAACGGUUCAUGGCAGAGCAGCUGAAUGAGGGACAGCAGCAGGUUCCUGGGAAACCAGGCACUUUUCCUUGGCAGGGACUAUCUGCUGCACAUGCUUAAAAUAAACCCUCUCUGGAUCCAGCAGUGCCUUUUACAGUGGAAGGAACGUUCAGUCGUAUCUUGAAUACUGUGUCUUACUUGUGGCCCUAUACUUUAAUAUUAGUUAUUUAUGUUCUAUCUAUAUAGCAAGUGACUUUUCCCGUGAUAUAUUUUAUAUAUAAUGUACAUAAAAGCCCUGAUUCUUGAUUUUUAAUACAAUGUAUAGAAUUAUUUUUGCAAUUUAGCUAUGGGUGGUAAUGAACUCUUGAUUGAGCUACCACAUGUGCAUUAAAAUGAGCUUGCCAUAAGAGGUGGUGAAUUAAAGUGAGACAGUACACUGUCCCAGCAUCCUCCACUGUCAGCGCUGUGGUGAGACAAGUCCUGGUGAAGACCUGCUGUAGCUCACUGUGCCGGCUGCCGGGUACGGCAGGGUCCAGGCCAAGCUGCUGAGCACUCUCGUCUGCAGGACAUUUCCCAUGGGAGCGAAGGGUUCGAGACCAUCGUGAGCCACAAUACAUGUUACGUUGUUCUGUCUCCAUUUCAUUCUUAUGCUGAUAGAAGCACACACUCACUCAGUUAUUAAUUUAUCUCAUUUCACUAUUUCUUGACACAAAUAAAGUUCUAUUUUUAUUAACUGCCAA
rnacentral:lncRNA from 1 species